GCGAGCAUACGUUUUUGCAAGCUGAACCUCAACCAUGUGGCUAGCAGCACUCAAGCUGAAAUAACUGUGGAGGGCUUGGAAAGAAAAGCGGGGAAAUAGAGGGCAGGAGCAUCAAAAGAACAUCCCCAAACUGCUCCAUCUGGCUCUUCCCCCUUCAUUUGGGAGCUGACCACCUGCUCCUCCCUAUUCCAUGUUCCACGUUAGAAAGAAGAGCGUCAUUCAGAGAUGGAGCACAUGAAGUUGUGACCGGGCAAGGCAGCCGGUUAGCCGCCAGAGGGGAUGAAGAUGCGGUGAAGAUGCUGCCAAGAGCGGAGAAGGCUCCUCAAGGGAUGCGGAGAGGGAAGGCAGGCUGCAAAGGCAGAAGAAGAGGCAGUCCAGGAAAAGCGGACUCUAAGAAGACCAUUUAUGUCCACAGCCUAAGCUGCAACUGAUGUAUAACUGAAUGGAUCAAAAACGUCUUCAUUUUCUGCCCUGCAAAUCACCAGCACAGAGAAAUGAAGCAGAAUACCACUGCGUGGUAGUCAUAGAAACAGCGGUUAUCAAUGUAAAGAUCUGAAAGAAAGUGUGAAAGUUUCUGUUAAAUUAUAUGCCAUUCUUCACUUUAAGAAUAUUUGAUCAUAAAACAUUGUUUUUCCAAAACAAGAGCAUAAAGCUCCAUGCUACUCCUCUGGACCUGUCUGUGUUGAC